UCCACGCCUCUCCCUCUUCACGAUUCGUCUUCUUCCCGCCCUCUCCACGCCUCUCUCUGUUUGAUUUAAGAAAGAGCAAAAAGCUGAAGAUCUGUAAAGGAAGAUCGACAGAGGACUAGUUCAAUUUCUAUGUAAAAGGCAAAAACAAAGUUUCCACUUUCCAUCAUAAAAGAAAUGGUGGAAUAGAACACCCCUUCUGCUGUGGAUGAAUGAAAAUAAGGUUUCACCUUGAGAUCUGCUGAAUUGGUCGUGAAGAAGUACUAAAGGUUGGACAGGUUUCCACCUUGAGAUUCUCAUUAUAGGAAAGCAGUUAUUUUUGGCUUGGCCUGGCCUUGAACUUCUUGUCUUUUACUAUGAGAUAUUGAAUUCCCCUGAGAGCUAUGUGCCCUGAUGUAGGUUCUAGGGAUAAAAGAAAUCUGAGGUGCAAUCAACAAGCCAAUCUACUUACUAGUGAAUUUCUGCAAAUCAAGCCAAUCUAUCAAACUUUGUUGACUGGAAUGAAGAGGUUGCGAUGGCUCAGUGCUAUUGAAAUCUGUAGGAAACAACCAAGCUGAAAAGGAUAGCCCUCCUAACAUUUCC